rnacentral:rRNA from 1 species
UAAGGAAUAUUGCUCAAUGGCCGAAAGGCUGAAGCAGCAACGCCGCGUGAAGGAUGAAGACCUUUUGGUUGUAAACUUCUGUAGAGAGGGAGAAAACCCCCGUUCUUCGGGGAUUGAUAGUACCUCUAAAGUAAGCCCCGACUAACUACGUG